CUCACAGGUCUACACAGAAACCAAAUGAUAAAGAUGUCUCUGUAGUGUGAUUGAAGUUCCAGACCAUGUCAGUAAGAACUUGGUCCUUUGUUCACUUUAUUUUACCACAGAUUCGUUUACAAACAAGGCAUAAUCGACGCAGGAUUUUCAGAAAGACUGAAACUAAAAGACAAAGCUGUGCCGACUAUAUUGGAUCUAACAAUGAUGACGUCGCAACACACAAGUUUUGAAACAGCUGACCAAAGCAACAUUUCUGGGGGAGUUUGUUUCGGCUCCUAAACACCUUUUCUAAUGGUCUGCGGCGGUUGCGCAAACGGAAAGCAGCCAGCAGGAAAAUGGAGGACAGCAACUCAGCCCUGCCAACAACACCUGUCACCUGCACAUAGCGAAAGAUUUCAACACUCAUAACAGGUCAAACCACGGGACCUGAAAGCAGAUGAUUCAGAGAAAUAUUCAGCUCUUUGGAAUCUCACAAACACUCCUGAGGGAUGCCGAGGACAUGGCUGCUAACCCACAGAAGAAUCUGGAGGAAUCUGUGAAGGAGAUGGAGAAGAUGACGGAUGAAUACAACAAGAUGAAGAUCGCAGUCCAGCAGACAGAUAUCUUUUUGAAGGUCAGAGAGCUAAAUGGAUGAAUCCAGGUUUGAGUUGAAGAGGAUGACCCGGUUAUGGCUGCCGUUAACGCCAAAGUUGAAGAGCGGAAGGAUUUUAUCAGGGAAAGAUUUGGAAAUUUUGGAGUGUUUGCAGAUGAUCAGAGACUUGGAGGAGAGACUUCGACUCUGACCAAACAACAUCGCACUGCAGCAGGGGCAGAACUCCUCAUGGCCACUGUGAUGCUUCUGAACACAGCGUGAAUGCUGGAUCCUAUUAAUAUUUCCGUUGAAACUGGCCACAGACACAGGAUGUGUGGAACAGGCUUUGCAAGAGAGGGACAACCAGAUCAAGAUGCUGUCUGAGCCAGUCGAGCAGUACACAACAGAAAUGGAAAAGAAUGCUGCGCUCAUCGAGGAGCUGAAGAAAUGGGCAAAGAAAGAUUAAGACUUGAGCUCUAAACUGCAGGCGGCUGAGAGGAGAGCUCUGAAGGCUGAUCUUGAUGCUAGAGACAAAGACAAAGAGCUCAAAGACACCCUCAGUCGAACCGGUCUCUAUGAGUCUGGGAGUCUAUCCCUUUGCACUUUCAGUGGUGGAAAAUUCACUCCUAUUACAAGUUGAAAUUAUUUUUGGGGUUGCUAUAUAAAUAUUCUUAAUUACGGUACCUGAUUUUCACAAAGCAACUUUACAAGGUCUUUUUCUUGGAUCUAAAAGCAGAAGUUGCCCAUUAUAAGCUUUUCUUAUAAUAAACAUAAAGAUUUUAUUUGACAUGUUUAUUAUCAUUUUUAUUCAUUUUUAAUCUAUUACAUCUAUCUU